GGUUCUCGCCAUCAGAGUUGAGGUGCCCAGGUGGCUUCCCCCAGUUCUCCUCCAGCAAGGAGGCGUAGGAGGUCAGCGACUGGUACUCCCUCACAUUCAUGCGGUAAGCAACAUUCAGGUUGGGGCUGUUGAACUGAGCUUCCUUGUCAUGGAUCACCUCCUCGAUGAGGGCUUCAGGUGUGUCCGGAAGACCCUCCACGUUGUAGCCGUCCUUCUUGAGGUCUGAGAGCACAGAGUAAAUGGAGCUGAACACGUUCAGAUAUGCUGCAGUCCCGACGUUGCCCUUGUCAGGUGGG
rnacentral:lncRNA from 1 species